AGCGAACGCUGGCGGCAGGCCUAACACAUGCAAGUCGAACGGAUCCUUCGGGAUUAGUGGCGGACGGGUGAGUAACACGUGGGAACGUGCCCUUUGGUUCGGAACAACUCAGGGAAACUUGAGCUAAUACCGGAUGUGCCCUUCGGGGGAAAGAUUUAUCGCCAUUGGAGCGGCCCGCGUCUGAUUAGCUAGUUGGUGAGGUAACGGCCCACCAAGGCGACGAUCAGUAGCUGGUCUGAGAGGAUGAUCAGCCACACUGGGACUGAGACACGGCCCAGACUCCUACGGGAGGCAGCAGUGGGGAAUCUUGCGCAAUGGGCGAAAGCCUGACGCAGCCAUGCCGCGUGAAUGAUGAAGGUCCUAGGAUUGUAAAAUUCUUUCAGCGGGGACGAUAACGACGGUACCCGCAGAAGAAGCUCCGGCUAACUUCGUG
rnacentral:rRNA from 1 species